rnacentral:rRNA from 1 species
UACGUAGGGUGCGAGCGUUGCCCGGAUUUAUUGGGCGUAAAGGGCGCGUAGGCGGCCACGCACGUCCGUUGUGAAAUCGCCCGGCUCAACUGGGCGGGGUCAGGGAUACGGUGUGGCUCGAGCAAGCUAGGGGGCAAUGGAAUUCCCGGUGUAGUGGUGGAAUGCGUAGAUAUCGGGAGGAACACCUGUGGCGAAAGCGGCUCACUGGACCACAACUGACGCUGAGGCGCGAAAGCUAGGGGAGCAAACAGG